rnacentral:miRNA from 1 species
UGUCCUUGGUGUUUGGAGAUAA